UACGUAUGUCACAAGCGUUAUCCGGAUUUAUUGGGCGUAAAGCGCGUCUAGGCGGCUAUGUAAGUCUGAUGUGAAAAUGCGGGGCUCAACUCCGUAUUGCGUUGGAAACUGUGUAGCUAGAGUAUCGGAGAGGUAAGCGGAACUACAAGUGUAGAGGUGAAAUUCGUAGAUAUUUGUAGGAAUGCCGAUGGGGAAGCCAGCUUACUGGACGAAUACUGACGCUAAAGCGCGAAAGCGUGGGUAGCAAACAGG
rnacentral:rRNA from 1 species